UGGUGAAGAUGAUGAAUAAAGGACAAGUGAUGAUCAAAAUUUCACAUGAUCAUAAUUAGUUCCUUGCUGCGUUCUUUCUGAUUCACUC
rfam:Ricinus communis cultivar Hale ctg_1100012359037, whole genome shotgun sequence.